rnacentral:rRNA from 1 species
GUGGGGAAUAUUGGGCAAUGGGCGCAAGCCUGACCCAGCAACGCCGCGUGAAGGAAGAAGGUUUUCGGAUCGUAAACUUCUAUCCUUGGUGAAGAUAAUGACGGUAGCCAAGAAGGAAGCCCCGGCUAACUACGUGCCAGCAGCCGCGGUAAUACGUAGGGGGCAAGCGUUGUCCGGAAUGAUUGGGCGUAAAGGGCGCGUAGGCGGCCUGGUAAGUCUGGAGUGAAAGUCAUGCUUUUAAGGUGGGAAUUGCUUUGGAUACUGUCGGGCUUGAGUGCAGGAGAGGUAAGUGGAAUUCCCGGUGUAGCGGUGAAAUGCGUAGAGAUCGGGAGGAACACCAGUGGCGAAGGCGACUUACUGGACUGUAACUGACGCUGAGGCGCGAAAGUGUGGGGAGCAAACAGGAUUAGAAACCCCAGUAGUCC